UACGUAGGGGGCAAGCGUUGUCCGGAAUCAUUGGGCGUAAAGCGCGUGUAGGCGGCCCGGUAAGUCCGCUGUGAAAGUCGGGGGCUCAACCCUCGAAUGCCGGUGGAUACUGUCGGGCUAGAGUGCGGGAGAGGCGAGUGGAAUUCCUGGUGUAGCGGUGAAAUGCGCAGAUAUCAGGAGGAACACCAAUGGCGAAAGCAGCUUUCUGGGACGGUACUGACGCUGAGACGCGAAAGCGUGGGGAGCGAACAGG
rnacentral:rRNA from 1 species